rnacentral:rRNA from 1 species
GAUGAACGCUGGCGGCGUGCCUAAUACAUGCAAGUCGAGCGAACGGACGAGAAGCUUGCUUCUCUGAUGUUAGAGGCGGACGGGUGAGUAACACGUGGAUAACCUACCUAUAAGACUGGGAUAACUUCGGGAAACCGGAGCUAAUACCGGAUGAUAUUUUGAACCGCAUGGUUCAAAAGUGAAAGACGGUCUUGCUGUCACUUAUAGAUGGAUCCGCGCUGCAUUAGCUAGUUGGUAAGGUAACGGCUUACCAAGGCAACGAUGCAUAGCCGACCUGAGAGGGUGAUCGGCCACACUGGAACUGAGACACGGUCCAGACUCCUACGGGAGGCAGCAGUAGGGAAUCUUCCGCAAUGGGCGAAAGCCUGACGGAGCAACGCCGCGUGAGUGAUGAAGGUCUUCGGAUCGUAAAACUCUGUUAUUAGGGAAGAACAUAUGUGUAAGUAACUGUGCACAUCUUGACGGUACCUAAUCAGAAAGCCACGGCUAACUACGUG